UUUAUUGAGUCUUCUUCUUUUCGAUGGUACAUUUAAAUACAAAGUGAACGAUUAACAUGAAUUGAGACUGUUAGAACUAUUGUUGUCUUAUUCUAACGUACAAUGAAAGUGUAUAAUAUGCUACAUGCGAAUUGUGAAAUCAUUACACAAAAUGUAAACAAUGAAUGAAGUAUAUAAGGCUUGCUCCCGGCCUCAACUGUAACUAACAGUGCUAAUGACUGUGUACAAUAAAUAAAUAAUUAACAAAAUCUUAAAACUAGUUAACAAAAUAUGACAUCAAAACGGAGUGACAGUCAGUGCUCUUACACAGAAUGUGUAAUUAUACAUAAAAAUUUCUUAUUCUUUGAAUAUCACAGUACUGAUUUAAUGUAGAAGCGUGGUAAGGUAUAGUCAUCUGCGACAUCUUCAGUAGGUUCGUUGAGAAUACCCACUGUAGACAGAUAUGACGAAUCUGACCAGGAUAUAUUUUUCUCGAUUUCGUGGAUUUCGCUUACAAUAUGGUUUUCGUGAGUAGCCAAUUUCUCUACAAACUUCCUUUGAAGUUGUUGGGCGUACUUACAAAAUGGCACAACGUUAGAGAUUUUGUAUAUACCUUUCUUUCCAGAAUUUCCAAUUCGUUGGCAACUAUUGGGGAAAUAGGAAACCAGAUUGGAAAUGCGUAUGUUAGGAUAGAUCUAAUUGCCACCUUAUAUAGGAGCAGCUUGGUGUUUUGAGGUAAAUAAUUGCUGUUAAGGAUGUUUGAAAAACUCGCUAAUAUACCUUUAACUUUUUGCAUGAUGGAACGAGCAUGGUCGUUGAAUUUUAAGAGAUGAUUGAAUGUUACACCAAGGUACUUUAAGGAUGUGCUGAAAGGAAUUUCUACUCCUUCUAAAGACAAUUUUAAUUGCUUGCUUUCUGGUACAACUUUUCGUGGGCAUUUGCCCGACGCAUUACGUAUGCAUAUGGCUACCGAUUUAGCGGCAUUUAUUUUAAUACCCCAUUGUUUAUAGAAGUUGUUGAUUAUGUGUAGGUGUUCUGAAGCAACACUCAGGGCAAUGGCUGGCGAAGGAUUAUGUGCGUAGAUUAUGCAAUCAUCUGCAUACAGGAUUGCUUUGGAAUGUUGAUACAUGUGUGGAAAGUCAUGAAGAAACAGGUUAAAAAGGUAUGGUGCCAAGAUACUACCUUGAGGAACGCCGCUAUUUACAUGGCCCAAGGAUGAUGAUGUAUUCCGGAUCUGAACCAUAAAUUUACGAGAAUUGAAGAAACUCUUUAGCAUUUUUAUAAUAAAUGGAUCUACUCCAAGUUGAAUUAAUUUGAACAAAAUACCGAGCACUACUUCCAGUAUUUUACCAAUAUUUGACAAAAGGGAAAUUGGGCGAAAGUCAUCAACGUUGCAAUUUGUUGUUUUCUUCUUGAUGGGUAUGAUUUUGGCAACUUUCCAUUGUUUGGGAAAGUAUCCGUUGUUAAUGCAAUUAUUGAAAAGGCACAUGAAGUAAAGUGGUAUGUGUCUGGAUUGUGGAGAGAAUUAAAAUUUUCAUCGAAUGAAUAUAUAUGAGUUGGUGUUGAGUUGAUACAUGUUAAUAGCGUAGAAUUAUGCUCAUCUGAGGCAGGAAGUGUUGUUGAGUCUUCAAAUAUGGUGGAAUAAAAAUUCUUAAAAUGA